UCAACCUCACGUAAGAGCAUGCUCUCGAGCAGUAGAGAUAAGCUUGCUUCUCUUAAAAGCGGCGCACGGGUGAGUAAUGCCUAGGAAUCUGCCUGGUAGUGGGGGACAACGUUCGGAAACGGACGCUAAUACCGCAUACGUCCUACGCGAGAAAGCAGGGGACCUUCGGGCCUUGCGCUAUCAGAUGAGCCUAGGUCGGAUUAGCUAGUUGGUGAGGUAAUGGCUCACCAAGGCGACGAUCCGUUUCUGGUCUGAGAGGAUGAUCAGUCACACUGGAACUGAGCCACGAUAAAAAAAAAUAUACGGGAGGCAGCAGUGGGGAAUAUUGGACAAUGGGCGAAAGCCUGAUCCAGCCAUGCCGCGUGUGUGAAGAAGGUCUUCGGAUUGUAAAGCACUUUAAGUUGGGAGGAAGGGUUGUAGAUUAAUACUCUGCAAUUUUGACGUUACCGACAGAAUAAGCACCGGCUAACUCUGUGCCAGCAGCAUAAGAUUAAUACAGAGGGUGCAAGCGUUAAUCGGAAUUACUGGGCGUAAAGCGCGCGUAGGUGGUUUGUUAAGUUGGAUGUGAAAUCCCCGGGCUCAACCUGGGAACUGCAUUCAAAACUGACUGACUAGAGUAUGGUAGAGGGUGUUGUAAUUUUCCUGUGUAGCGGUGAAAUGCGUAGAUAUAGGAAGGAACACCAGGUGGCGAAGGCGACCACCUGUACUAAUACUGACACUGAGGUGCGAAAGCGUGGGGAGCAAACAGGAUUAGAUACCCUGGUAGUCCACGCCGUAAACGAUGUCAACUAGCCGUUGGAAGUCUUUGAGCUUUUAGUGGCCGCAGCUAACGCAUUAAGUUGACCGCCUUGGGGAGUACGGCCGCAAGGUUAAAACUCAAUUGAUUUGCCGGGGGCCCGCACAAGCGGUUGAGCAUGUUGUUUUAAUUCGAAGCACCGCGAGAACCUUUAACCAGGCCUGACCAUUCAAUGAACUUUCUAGAAGAUAGAAUUGGGUGCCUAUCCGGGAACUUUGAAGACAGGGCUGCAUGGCCUGUCCGUCAGCUCGGUGUUCGUGAGAAAUGUUGGUUAAGCUCCAGGUAACCGAGCGCCAUCCCUGUCUUAAGGUACAGACGGUUAUGGUUGCACCUAGGGGACUGCGGGUCAAGAUCCAGGAGACAGGGUGGGGAUAAUAGACCUUCUAGUCACUA
rnacentral:rRNA from 1 species